rnacentral:rRNA from 1 species
GAUGAACGCUGGCGGCGUGCCUAAUACAUGCAAGUCGAGCGAACAGACGAGGAGCUUGCUCCUCUGACGUUAGCGGCGGACGGGUGAGUAACACGUGGAUAACCUACCUAUAAGACUGGGAUAACUUCGGGAAACCGGAGCUAAUACCGGAUAAUAUAUUGAACCGCAUGGUUCAAUAGUGAAAGACGGUUUUGCUGUCACUUAUAGAUGGAUCCGCGCCGCAUUAGCUAGUUGGUAAGGUAACGGCUUACCAAGGCAACGAUGCGUAGCCGACCUGAGAGGGUGAUCGGCCACACUGGAACUGAGACACGGUCCAGAGUCCUACGGGAGGCAGCAGUAGGGAAGCGUCCGCAAUGGGCGAAAGCUUGACGGAGCAACGCCGCGUGAGUGAUGAAGGUCUUCGGAUCGUAAAACUCUGUUAUUAGGGAAGAACAAAUGUGUAAGUAACGAUGCACGUCUUGACGGUACCUAAUCAGAAAGCCACGGCUAACUACGU